CAUUUGCCUUUUGUGAUACGCUUUCAAAGAGUCAGGUUGUUUGGGAAUGCAGCCUAAAUUGGGUGGUAAAUCUCACCUAAAGCUAAAUAUUGGCGAGAAACCGAUAGCGAACAAGUACCGUGAGGGAAAGAUGAAAAGAACUUUGAAAAGAGAGUUAAACAGUAUGUGAAAUUGUUAAAAGGGAACCGUUUGGAGCCAGACUGGCUUGUCUGUAAUCAAUCUAGGCUUCGGCCUGGAUGCACUUGCAGGCUAUGCCUGCCAACGACAAUUUGACUUGAGGGAAAAAACUAAGGGAAAUGUGGCCCACUUGUGGGUGUUAUAGUCCCUUAGAAAAUACCUUGGGUUGGAUUGAGGAACGCAGCGAAUGCUUUUUGGCGAGUUUUCCAGGAAGGUUUUCUGAGGUACUACGGUAUCAAGGUUGAUCUUUUUG
rnacentral:rRNA from 2 species